GUAGGUGGCAAGCGCUGUCCGGAAUUAUUGGGCGUAAAGCGCGCGCAGGCGGUUCUUUAAGUCUGAUGUGAAAGCCCACGGCUCAACCGUGGAGGGUCAUUGGAAACUGGAGAACUUGAGUACAGAAGAGGAAAGCGGAAUUCCACGUGUAGCGGUGAAAUGCGUAGAGAUGUGGAGGAACACCAGUGGCGAAGGCGGCUUUCUGGUCUGUAACUGACGCCGAGGCGCGAAAGCGUGGGGAGCAAACAGGAUUAGAUACCCUGGUAGUCCACGCCGUAAACGAUGAGUGCUAAGUGUUAGGGGGUUUCCGCCCCCCUUAGUGCUGCAGCUAACGCAUUAAGCACUCCGCCUGGGAGUACGGCCGCAAGGCUG
rnacentral:rRNA from 1 species